rnacentral:rRNA from 1 species
AUUGAACGCUGGCGGCAGGCCUAACACAUGCAAGUCGAACGGUAGCACAGAGAGCUUGCUCUCGGGUGACGAGUGGCGGACGGGUGAGUAACGUCUGGGAAACUGCCUGAUGGAGGGGGAUAACUACUGGAAACGGUAGCUAAUACCGCAUAACGUCGCAAGACCAAAGUGGGGGACCUUCGGUCCUCACACCAUCGGAUGUGCCCAGAUGGGAUUAGCUAGUAGGUGGGGUAAUGGCUCACCUAGGCGACGAUCCCUAGCUGGUCUGAGAGGAUGACCAGCCACACUGGAACUGAGACACGGUCCAGGCUCCCACGGGAGGCAGCAGUGGGGAAUAUUGCACAAUGGGCGCAAGCCUGAUGCAGCCAUGCCGCGUGUAUGAAGAAGGCCUUCGGGUUGUAAAGUACUUGCAGCGGGGAGGAAGGCGGUGAAGUUAAUAACUUCACCGAUUGACGUUACCCGCAGAAGAAGCACCGGCUAACUCCGUGCCAGCAGCCGCGGUAA